rnacentral:lncRNA from 1 species
AUACAUUUUCUGUGAAAAUAAAGACUCUUUUCUGAACCAAGGCUUAACCUGUGCAUGCACUAUCUCUGUACUCAGUACUCUGUACCCCUGACUAGAGCUUGCUCUAGAUAGGUUGUUUCAUACCUGUUAAGCCUGGUUUUUCACAUACUCUGUAAAACAUAUACAUAUACAGAUCAUGUACAUAAACCAAAGAUUUANNNN